rnacentral:misc_RNA from 1 species
AGCAACCGCGCCCACAGCCAAUCCCGUACCAAACCCCAUCUUUCCUCCUCCUUUCUGUCUCUGAUCGUACAGUGAAUACUCAACGGGCGCAGAGGGCCCACCGUAACUGCCCGUCCGAUCAAAUAUGGGCCUUGGCGGGGCUGGGGCCGAGGAGUAAUAUCCGGAGUAAUAAGGAGAUGGAGGGUAACCAUCGUGAUAGGAUGGGUAUUGAGGAGGCGGAGGUGGAGGUGACAGCGACGGGGGCGGCGGCAUUGUAGGCCCAUACCUGUAAUCACGCGGCGCGGGAGGAGGAGGAAUAGAUGCAGUGUUGUAAUAAUAAUUUUGUGGAGGGGCAAUAUGGUGAUAAUCAAGACCCGGAGGCGGCGGCGGUGGUGGCAACGGUCGUUCACGGAACCCAAGCUUUAUCCUGAUCUUACCCUGAGGACGACCUGAGGGGAGGGUCAGCACAAAAGUUCGAAUUCGGGACGAGUCAUCUGGGUCAGGCAGGUCCUUCAACGGUACACGGAGGGUGCCGACGAGGGGUUUGGGGGUUUCGCUGGGUUUGGAGUGGAAGAUCUCGAGGGUGAGAUAAGAAUCCUGGGGAGGGAGAAAAAGAGGGAGAGUGAAGCGCUCAUUCCAAACGGGUCGAGUAGAACCGGAGUCAUCGGACUUG